GCUUAGAAGCAGCCAUCCUUUAAAGAAAGCGUAACAGCUCACUGGUCUAAUUAAGAGAUCCUGCACCGAAAAUGUAACGGGGCUCAAACCAUUUACCGAAGCUUUGACAAUUACUUUUAGUAAUUGGGUAGCGGAGCGUUCUGUAAGCCUAUGAAGGUGAAGCGUAAGCUUUGCUGGAGGUAUCAGAAGUGCGAAUGCUGACAUGAGUAACGAUAAUGAAUGUGAAAGACAUUCACGCCGAAAUCCUAAGGUUUCCUGCGUAAAGCUAAUCUGCGCAGGGUUAGUCGGCCCCUAAGACGAGGGCGAAAGCCGUAGUCGAUGGAAAGCAGGUUAAUAUUCCUGCACCAGCUGGUAGUGACGGAUGGAGUAAAUUGUAAGUUCUUACUGGAUUGAACUUGCAGUGAAUCUGUUCCUGGAAAUAGCUCCAGCAUAAGACCGUACCAAAACCGACACAGGUAGGAAGGUAGAGAAUACCAAGGCGCUUGAGAGAACGAUGUUGAAGGAACUCGGCAAAUUACACUUGUAACUUCGGGAUAAGAGUGACCUGUCAUUGGGCAACCAGUGAUGGGUGGCACAGAAAUGGGGGUAGCGACUGUUUACUAAAAACAUAGCACUAUGCAAAGUCGAAAGACGACGUAUAUGGUGUGACGCCUGCCCGGUGCCGGAAGGUUAAUAGGAGGGGUGCAAGCUCUGAAUUGAAGCCCCGGUGAACGGCGGCCGUAACUAUAACGGUCCUAAGGUAGCGAAAUUCCUUGUCGGGUAAGUUCCGACCUGCACGAAUGGCGUAACGAUUUCCCCACUGUCUCCAACAUCGACUCAGUGAAAUUGAAUUCUCGGUUAAGAUGCCGAGUAACCGUGGUUAGACGGAAAGACCCCGUGCACCUUUACUGCAGCUUUGUAUUGGUAUUAGGGGAAAGAUGUGUAGCAUAGGUGGGAGACUUUGAAGAAUUGGCGCUAGCCAGUUUGGAGUCAACAGUGAAAUACCACUCUUCUUUUCCUUGAUGCCUAACCAUACACCGUUAUCCGGUGUUGGGACCAUGCAUGGUGGGCAGUUUGACUGGGGCGGUCGCCUCCCAAAGAGUAACGGAGGCGCGCGAUGGUAGGCUCAGAACGCUUGGAAACCGUUCGUCGAGUGCAAUGGCAUAAGCCUGCCUGACUGCAAGACCUACAAGUCGAGCAGAGACGAAAGUCGGUCAUAGUGAUCCGGUGGCACUUCGUGGAAGGGCCAUCGCUCAACGGAUAAAAGGUACGCCGGGGAUAACAGGCUGA
rnacentral:rRNA from 1 species